AUUUAUCACACAAAUGAACAAUUCAAAAACCACUUCAAGAAUAAAAAAUAUUAUGGAACUUGAUAUGCCGGGCUAGAAAAUCAACUGGAAUCGGAUUUAACAACGACACAAAAGAGAUUACGGCCUCAGACGAAUGGUGGGCAGAACAUAAGAAUUGGAAAGGGCUAUCACAAUUAAAAAACAAACAAAUAGCAGAUUAUGACUUGUUGGAAAAAAAUUUUGGGGCUCAUCGUGCUGCUACUGGUGAAAAUAUGGAACAUGCAUUAAAUAUAGACGAGGGGUCUGGCGAUUCUGAUAAAACCAUUGAUGAAGGUUUUCAUGACCCACUUGUUGGUAACCAGAGCCAAGGAAAAAAAUGGAUCAUUCUAAUUUACCACCAGAGUUAGACGAAUAUGAUCUAUCUUUCUUAACAUUAUUGAUGGAGAUAUUGGGAGACACGUUCAAUUAUUCAUUAACACGC